CUCUGGCCUGAUGUUUUAUUCCUCUUUGUGUUUCAGGAAGACGUGGAGACUCGCAGCAGGAAGAUCUUGUUCAAGCCUGUAAGAGAUUGGAGCAACAUCCGCUGCUUUAUAAUAGCAGGUGUGGCCGGGGCUCAGCAAACACAGGGCCAGUCGAGGCGUUUCACAACCAUGGAUGUUGAUGAGGAGGAGAACAUGAGUGAGUGCUCGAGUCUGAACCCCAAACCCUCCAUUCCAGCACAGAGCCCUGCACACUCCCCUUA
rnacentral:lncRNA from 1 species